rnacentral:rRNA from 1 species
CCGCGAAUUCGCCCUUCGGGGCGCACCAGGCGCGAAAACUCCACAAUGCGCGAAAGCGUGAUGGGGUUAACCCGAGUGCCGUCCGAUGAGGAUGGCUUUUCUUCAGUUUAAGGAUCUGGAGGAAUAAAGGGGGGGCAAGACUGGUGUCAGCCGCCGCGGUAAUACCAGCCCCCUGAGUGGUAGGGACGAUUAUUUGGCCUAAAGCGUCCGUAGCCUGUUUGGGAAGUCUUUCGUUAAAUCCGACGAUUCCAUCGUUGGGACGCGGAAGAUACUGCCAGACUUGAGGACGGGAGAGGUCGUCGGUAGUCCUAGGGUAGGGGUGAAAUCCUAUAAUCCUAGGAGGACCACCAGUGGCGAAGGCGGUCGACUAGAACGUGCCUGACGGUGAUGGACGAAAGCUGGGGGAGCGAACCGGAUUAGACACCCGGGUAGUCCCAGCUGUAAACGAUGCGAGCUAGGUGUUGGAGCAACUACGAGUUGCUCCAGUACCGCAGAGAAGUUGUUAAGCUCGCCGCCUGGGAAGUACGGCCGCAAGGCUGAAACUUAAAGGAAUUGGCGGGGGAGCAC